rnacentral:rRNA from 1 species
CAGCCGCCGCGGUAAUACGUAGGGGGCGAGCGUUACCCGGAUUCACUGGGCGUAAAGGGGGUGUAGGCGGCUUGGCAAGUCGGGUGUGAAAUCCCACGGCUCAACCGUGGAAUUGCGCCGAAACUGCCAAGCUUGGGGCCGGUAGAGGGAGACGGAACUGCCGGUGUAGGGGUGAAAUCCGUAGAUAUCGGCAGGAACGCCGGUGGGGAAGCCGGCCUCCUGGGCCGCGCCCGACGCUGAGGCCCGAAAGCUAGGGGAGCAAACCGGAUUAGAUACCCGGGUAGUCCUAGCCGUAAACGAUGCCCACUAGGUGUGGGGGAGUAUUUCCUCCGUGCUGUAGCUAACGCGUUAAGUGGGCCGCCUGGGGAGUACGCCCGCAAGGGUGAAACUUAAAGGAAUUGGCGGG